rfam:Thermobacillus composti KWC4, complete genome.
GAGGCGGUAUCGCAUUUUCCCGCGAAUCGCACUCGGGACUUAUGGAUUUGAAUUUCAUCUUGCACGGAACGUUCAUCCGGGUUGGCGCAUUCUGCUCAGAGCCGUGAGGGGACCGAGACAGAAGG